rnacentral:rRNA from 1 species
UACAGAGGUCUCAAGCGUUGUUCGGAUUCAUUGGGCGUAAAGGGUGCGUAGGCGGCGCGGUAAGUCGGGUGUGAAAUCUCGGAGCUUAACUCCGAACUGCAUUCGAUACUGCCGGUGCUUGAGGACUGGAGAGGAGACUGGAAUUUACGGUGUAGCGGUGAAAUGCGUAGAUAUCGUAAGGAAGACCAGUGGCGAAGGCGGGU